CCGAACCGAGCCCGUGAUCCCCAAAAUGUCCCGAACCGGGACCCGAACCGGGACCCGAACCGAGCCCGUGGUCCCCAAAAUGUCCCGAACCGGGACCGAACCGGGACCCGAACCGGGACCCGAACCGGGACCCGAACCGGGACCCGAACCGAGCCCUUGGUCUCCAGUUCCCAUUCCCGGUUCCCAUUCCCGUUUUUCCCAGUUCUCCCGGUUCUCCCGGUUCCCAUUCCCGGUUCUCCCGUUGCAGGCGGUGGCGGUGCCGUUCCCAUUCCCGUUUUUCCCGUUGUUCCCGUUCCCAUUCCCGUUGUUCCCGUUCCCAUUCCCGUUUCUCCCGUUUCUCCCGUUGUUCCCGCUCCCAUUCCCGUUGUUCCCGUUCCCAUUCCCGUUUUUCCCGUUUUUCCCGUUGUUCCCGCUCCCAUUCCCGUUGUUCCCAUUCCCGUUUCUCCCGUUUCUCCCGCGCAGGCGGCGCCGUUCCCGCCGGUGGAGGCGCUGCAGGAGCUGAGCCAGGAGCUGCUGCGGGAGCUGAGCUCGGGCGGCGCCGAGCGGCUGCUGCAGCGGGGGCUGCGGCGGCGCCUGCGGCUGCAGCGGCGCCUGCGCGGGGCGCAGGAGCGGGCGCGGGGGCUGGCCCAGGGUGCGUGACCAAAAACCAAAAAAUUACCCAAAAAACCCCAAAAAACAGCCCAAAAUAACCCCAAAAAAACAGCCCAAAACAGCCCAGAAAUACCCCAAAAAACCAGCCCAAAACAGCCCCAAAAUACCCCAAAAACCCCAAAAAAACAGCCCAAAACAGCCCCGAAAUAACCCAAAAUAACCCCAAAAACCAGCCCAAAACAGCCCCGAAAUAACCCAAAAUAACCCCAAAAAACCACCCAAAACAGCCCCGAAAUAACCCAAAAAAACCCCAAAAAACCGCCCCAAAACAGCCCCAAAAUAACCCAAAAA
rnacentral:lncRNA from 1 species